rnacentral:lncRNA from 1 species
UGAGAGGGUGGGGCGGAGCGCGCUCGGCGCAGUCGGGUGCGAUUGGCCACCCCUGGCAGAAGCCGCACCUCGGACAGCAGCAGCAGCGGCGGCGGCGGGAGCGUCCGCGGGACUCCCGGAGUCGGCGGCCGCAGCGGGGUCCUGCGUGCGAGAGUGGGACGCGACGCGGGGAGCGCCUGCGGAGGUCCUGCGCGGCCGAAGGUCCUGCACGGCUGGGCUCGGCUCUUGGCAACCCGACCCGGGGAUCUUCCAGGGGGCAACCCGCAGAAGAGCGACUCGGGAACAAGUGUGAGAGGAAGCGGCGGCGGCGACGCCGGGCCCGGGGGCGGUGACAGGUCUGAGGUAAAGUGUAAAUACAGAAGACUGAAGUUUUAA